rnacentral:rRNA from 1 species
GAUGAACGCUGGCGGCGUGCCUAACACAUGCAAGUCGAACGGAGUUCUUGAGGAAUGCGACUUCGGUCAAAUGACUUUUGAACUUAGUGGCGGACGGGUGAGUAACGCGUGAGCAACCUGCCUUUCAGAGGGGGAUAACAUUUGGAAACAGAUGCUAAUACCGCAUAAGAUUACAGUACCGCAUGAUAAAGUGAUCAAAGGAGAAAUCCGCUAAAAGAUGAGUCUACGGCUGAUUAGCCAGUUGGCGGGGUAAAGGCCCACCAAAGCUAUGAUCAGUAGCCGAGCUGAGAGGCUGGCCGGCCACAUUGGGACUGAGACACGGCCCAG